GACGAACGCUGGCGGCGUGCUUAACACAUGCAAGUCGAACGGAAAGGCCCUGCUUUUGUGGGGUGCUCGAGUGGCGAACGGGUGAGUAACACGUGAGUAACCUGCCCUUGACUUUGGGAUAACUUCAGGAAACUGGGGCUAAUACCGGAUAGGAGCUCCUGCUGCAUGGUGGGGGUUGGAAAGUUUCGGCGGUUGGGGAUGGACUCGCGGCUUAUCAGCUUGUUGGUGGGGUAGUGGCUUACCAAGGCUUUGACGGGUAGCCGGCCUGAGAGGGUGACCGGCCACAUUGGGACUGAGAUACGGCCCAGACUCCUACGGGAGGCAGCAGGGGGGAAUAUUGUACAAUGGGCGGAAGCCUGAUGCAGCAACGCCGCGUGCGGGAUGACGGCCUUCGGGUUGUAAACCGCUUUCGCCUGUGACGAAGCGUGAGUGACGGUAAUGGGUAAAGAAGCACCGGCUAACUACGUG
rnacentral:rRNA from 1 species